UAACGAAGUGCAUAAUGAAGUUGCAGAGCCAAUAUCUUAUGAAAGGAAUACUGUUUGGAGUAGCCAUUGUCUGGAACCAAACUGCAAUAGAUCGUUUUCUAACAACAAAAAUCUAAUGCAACAUUUACAUAAUGACCACUCAAUUAAGAUGUCUAAAAACAUCUUACACUCAAUGAACUUUGUGACAGAGUCUUAUAUAUUGAAGAAUACUAAUGAUUUUGAGAACAUGAAGACAAACAUUGAAGUUACCAAUGGUUGUUAUAUUCUAAAAAGUAAAUAUGCUAGUACUAUCGGUGAAGUAAUAUAUUAUAAAUGUAACAACUAUAGUGUUAAAGAUGUUGAUCAAAGAAGUAGAUUGUUGAAGUUGCACAAGUGAAUUGGAGGUUACUAUGGAGAGUAAUAAAAUCACAGUAGAGUGGCAGAAAGUCCAUUAUGGACAUACCUUAGAAUUGCAACAUUUGCAACAUGUUAGAUUGUCAAAACCAGAUAAGCAGAGUAUUGCUACUAAAAUGGUGAAUGGUGUUACAAAUCAAAGGAUUCUUGAAUCGGCUCGGGAUAGAAUUGGGAGCAUUUGAGAAGAAUUGAUUUACUAACAUCAAGAUAUUUACGAAAUAUAGGAAAUAGCUGCAGUCUUGAACUGAGAAAUGGAAAACGACGACAUCCUAAUGAUGCAUUUUCUAUUGCUCUUUGGGUUGAGGAAUGUGAAAAACUUUAACAAAAUCCUAUUUUAUUUUAUAAACAGCAAAGAAAAGAGCAUAGUAUAUGGAAAAAUGAUGAUUUUUGUAUAAUUGUUAUGAAUACUUUUCAAAAACAAAUGAUUAGAAAAUUUCUACGAAUAAUUACUAUUGACAGUACACAUGGUUUGAAUGGUUAUGAUUUUGAAAUGACAACAAUAAUGGUACUAGACGAGUUUCACCACGGUUUCCCAGUGGCUACAAUGUUUUCCAAUAGAAAGGAUACAGUAGUUUAUAGAUUAU